rnacentral:rRNA from 1 species
CACGUAGGCGGGACAGAAAGUCAGAGGUGAAAUCCCAGGGCUCAACCUUGGAACUGCCUUUGAAACUCCUGUUCUUGAGGUCGAGAGAGGUGAGUGGAAUUCCGAGUGUAGAAGUGAAAUUCGUAGAUAUUCGGAGGAACACCAGUGGCGAAGGCGGCUCACUGGCUCGAUACUGACGCUGAGGUGCGAAAGCGUGGGGAGCAAACA